ensembl:lncRNA
CGCACACCGGGCAUCCGCGUGAAGGCUUUUUAAUCCGAUUUUUUCCUUCUUAUUAAAAAAAAUUAAAUGCCUCCUUAACACCGCGGAUUUUAUCCUUCAAGACCUGUCAGGAUUGGAGUGAUUGAAGUGUUUUCUGUGGACUGACCGAUGGAAACAUGAGCCGAUUUUAUUAUCGCAUGCUUCUUUUCCCAUUUACUCUCUUCAGUACUGUUUUACUUCCGACUUCUGGAAAAUCCCAAAAUGAAGCUGACAGAAACGGAUGCUCCAGAUGAGAAUUUGAGCGUUUGGAUGAAUCACAGCACUGAGACGAUCCAGCGAAUGAGUGAUGAGAAGAAUGUCCUGACAAUAAGAUUUUAACAGUGGAGUAUCCGUGUAUCAGAGCAGGAGGAGAGCG